rnacentral:rRNA from 1 species
UACGUAGGGGGCAAGCGUUGUCCGGAUUCAUUGGGCGUAAAGAGCGUGUAGGCGGCCAGGUAGGUCGGUUGUGAAAACUGGAGGCUCAACCUUCAGAGGUCGACCGAAACCAUCUGGCUAGAGUCCGGGAGAGGAGAGUGGAAUUCCUGGUGUAGCGGUGAAAUGCGCAGAUAUCAGGAGGAACACCAGUGGCGAAGGCGAGUCCCUGGACAACUUCUGACGCUGAGGCACGAAAGCUAGGGGAGCAAACAGG